GCCACCCCGUUCUUCCAACAUGAUGCUUCUCUUUGCAGCAGGAAAAAGAGCGACAUUGCGUCCAAAUGCUGUUUGUUCGCAAACCCCAAAAUUUCUCCAUCAAAAUCUUCUUCUCAACUUCAAUAUCAAAAUCAAAAUCAACUCCCAAUUGGAGAAGUCAAAUCAAAGAAACCCAACUAAUCUCCCAAGUUUCUAAAAUCUUGUUACAAAGGCACACCAAAUUUUGGAACCCACUUCUCAAGUCCCUCAAAUUUUCAUCCAGUUUUAGUCCACCGCUCUUCCUCCAAAUCCUCAAGCAAAUCCAAACCCACCCUGAUGUGUCCCUUAAUUUCUUCAAAUGGGCCAAGAAAAAUCUCAAUUUUGAACCGGACCUCCGAGCAUUGUGCAAGAUGACCCGGAUACUUUUCGGGUUCGGGCUGUCCAAACCCGCUAGACCCCUAUUGGAUAAAUUGGUUCGAGACUAUCCUCCAAACCUAUUUGUGUCUUCAUUGAUUAAAGGUUCUGACUUUCACCUUAUAUCCUUUACUCUAAGUGCUGUUCUUGAAUGUUUUUGCCAUAAGUGUAUGUAUUUGCAAGCUUUGGAGGUUUAUAAUAGGGGAAAAGAUUAUGGAGUUAUAGUUACUAUAGAUAGUUGUAAUGCAUUGCUGAAGUUGUUAAGUGAUGAAAAUGAGAUAAGAUUGGCUUGGUGCUUUUAUGGUUCAAUGAUUAGAAAUGGGGUUUUUGAGAAUCAGUGUACGUGGUCUUUGAUUGCCAAAAUUUUAUAUACAGAUGGAAAAUUUGAGAGAAUCUCCUGGGUUUUAGACUUGGGAAUUUAUACUCCCGUGAUGUAUAAUUUGUUAAUUGAGUGUUAUAGUAAAAAAGGAGAGUUCAGAGCUGCUUUUGGUUAUCUAGAUGAGAUGUGCAGUAAAAAAAUUGAGCCGAGUUUUAGUACUUAUAGCUCCAUUCUUGACGGGGCUUGUAAGUAUCAAGAUGCAGGAGUGAGUGAUAAAGUACUAAAUUCUAUGAUGGAGCUGGGUUAUCUCCCAGAAUAUCUUGUUUCUGAGUAUGAUUUUAUUAUUCAGAAACUUUCUGGUUUGGGAAAUACACAUGCUGCAGAUUUCUUCUUCAAGAGAUCUUUUGAUGAGAAGAUCCAACUACAACAUAAUACCUAUGGAUGUAUGCUUGAAUCAUUAUCCAAGGAAGGCAGAGUGAAGCAUGCAAUUGCACUGCAUCACAUUAUGCUGGGAAGGAAAAUUGUGGUUAAUGAGAGUUGUUAUAGUGCAUUUACAAGUGCUCUUUGCGAAGAAAAUCCGUCAGAGGAAGUUAGCAAAUUGUUAAUUGAUGUGAUAAGAAGAGGUUUCAGUCCUGCAGCAGAACUUUCUAAAUAUAUUAAUAGACAAUGUGCUGAAGGUCGAUGGAGAGAGGUAGAAGAGCUAUUGAACGAAAUGCUUGAUAGAGGGUGUUUUCUAGAUUCUAUUUCGUGUGGUUCAUUGGUGAAACAUUACUGCUUAAGCAAAAAAAUCAAUUCAGCAAUAGCGUUGCAUAAUAAAUUGAAGGGAUUGGAAGGUACUUUGGAUGCAAGAGCAUAUAAUGUACUUCUCACCAAGCUCUUCGAAGAGAGAAGGGUUGAAGAAGCACUCGGGGUGUUUGAAUACAUGAGAACGCAUAAAAUGCUGAGCAGUGAAAGUUUUUCACUUGUGAUAAGAGGUCUCUGUCAGGUCAAGGAAUUGAGGAUAGCCAUGAAAUUACACAAUGAAAUGUUAGAGUUAGGACUUAAGCCUGAUGGAAGAAUGUAUAAACGACUAAUUUCUGGUUUUGGAUGAUUCCAAUCCUCUGAGCUGAUCAUAUUCAUUUCUGAUCUCUCAUUGUUGCUGGCUGGAGAUCAACGUAUAAAUACUGCUUGACAUGCCCUUUUGUCUGCUCAUUCUUCUGUGUAUGAUCAAAUAAUUUGACACCAGAGAGAGACAAAUUAAUCUAGGAAAUACCGACACAGGUAAUUAUUUUCCGUUCUCUCAAAUCUUUACUGAAAACUCGGUCCAAUCCUUUCAGUAAAGCAUUGAGCUGUAAAUAGUUCAGAUAUCUGUUUUCUCCAUUUCUCAUGAUUGCUAAUUCUUGUUAAGACGGUAUUUGUUCUAGGCCCAAAUUCAAGACAUGGAUGAUAAUGACAAUGAAUCUUUUUCCGCUCACUCUAAAUGUGAUUGCUUGAGACAAAAGAGGUAAAAAAACAAGAAGCUUUUGGUGAUGCUAUCAUUGAUGGUGUGAUCCAUAGUUCAUUGUCAAGACAAUGGAUAGAAUGGAGAAUAUAACCCAACAAAUAUUUGGAGCUCGUAACAACAAUUGUGAUUUCGAAUAGAGCCUCACUAGGAUUGAGUAUUAAGGAUGAGCUUCUAGCUUUACAGAUAUUUGAAUACUUUUAAGGGUGUAAACCGAAUUUGUUUUUAGAAUUAUGUUAAGUGUAUGGUGUUUAUCUUUGUGUACAUUCCAUCGUAUUUCCAAAAAUGUUAGGUGGGAAUUGUGUUUUUUUUUAUAAAAAAAAAAAUUGUCCAAUCACAUAACACAAUAUAAAAAAUGAUGUGCAUGUAGCAUGAUUGUUAUUUUUACGCUUUUAGGAGAACAUUGUAGUGGUCGCACAUAAUUGUGUUGAAUGUUCACUUAUUUUGGAGAAUGUUGAGAACUUUGAAAACUUGUUUUAAAUUGUGUCGUCUUCCUAUUAUUGUAGUUCAUUUUUUUAAUGGAAUGGAGUUUCCUUGUUCUUUACGAAGUUGGAGUUAUUGUUUUAUCAUAGUAAUGUUGCAUUGUGUUCUAUUUCAAGAAUUUAACAUGUUUAUUAUGAUUUAUACAGAUUGAUAGAGACGAGGAUGCAAUAACUACUUUUGUUUUUUUAAUUAAGUUGGU
rnacentral:lncRNA from 1 species